rnacentral:rRNA from 1 species
GAAACGGGUGAGUAUAAUGUGGGUAUCUGCCUUUUGGUUUGGAAUAACACGAGGAAACUUGUGCUAAUACCGGAUAAGCCUUUACAGGGAAAGUUUUAACGCCAAAAGAUGAGCCCACACUUGAUUAGCUAGUUGGUAAGGUAAAAGCUUACCAAGGCUACGAUCAAUAGCUGAUCUGAGAGGAUGAUCAGCCACAUUGGGACUGAGACACGGCCCAAACUCCUACGGGAGGCAGCAGUGGGGAAUCUUGCACAAUGGGGGAAACCCUGAUGCAGCGAUGCCGCGUGAGUGAAGAAGGCCUUUGGGUUGUAAAGCUCUUUCGUCGGGGAAGAAAAUGACUGUACCCGAAUAAGAAGGUCCGGCUAACUUCGUGCCAGCAGCCGCGGUAAUACGAAGGGACCUAGCGUAGUUCGGAAUUACUGGGCUUAAAGAGCUCGUAGGUGGUUAGAAAAGUUGGUGGUGAAAUCCCAAGGCUUAACCUUGGAACUGCCAUCAAAACUUUUUAACUAGAGUAUGAUAGAGGUAAGUGGAAUUUCUAGUGUAGAGGUGAAAUUCGUAGAUAUUAGAAAGAACACCGAUUGCGAAGGCAACUUUCUGGAUCAUUACUGACACUGAGGAGCGAAAGCAUGGGUAGCGAAGAGGAUUAGAUACCCUCGUAGUCCAUGCCGUAAACGAUGUGUGCUAGACGUUGGAAAUUG